UGCCAGCANHMGCGGUUAUACUUAAUACUUCAAUUUAUUAUAAUAGGUUAAAACAUUCGUUUAUAAAAAUUUAGUGAUUAGGUGAAAUAUAAUAAAAUUUCAUUCAAUUAAGCAUUUUAUAAAAAAUUUAUAAGAAAAACUAGGAUUAGAGACCCUACUAUUUUUAAAUAUAUAAAUUAACCUAAAUAUUAAAAGCGUUCGUGUUUCAAAUUUAAAGAACAUGGCUAUUAUCUAGUAAUUUUAGGGGAUUCUGCUUUAGUAAACAAUAAUCCGUGAUAAAUUUUUCCUUUAUUAAAAUUUGUAUAUCGCCGUUUUUUUAUAGAUAUAUAAAUAUAUAAAAAAAUACUUAAUAGUUAAAAAUCAGGCCCUGAUAUAGUAAAUAAAGGUUUAAAGUUGAAUACAAUUUUAUGAAUUAAAAGGAAACUUUAAUUAAAUGGGACUUAAUAGUAACAUAAAUUUAAAAUAUUUGUGUGAAAUAUUACUCUAGAAAGGUACAUAUCGCCCGUCGUUCUUUCUUCGUAGAAAGAWAAGUCGUAACAHAGUA
rnacentral:rRNA from 1 species